UCCUUCGGGAUGAGUAAAGCGGCGAACGGGUGAGUAAUGUAUAAGAAUCUACCUUUUAGUGGAGAAUACCCUUGAGAAAUCAAGGUUAAUACUGCAUACGUCCCUUACGGGAGAAAGAUGGCCUCUUUGCUAUCGCUAAAAGAUGAGCUUAUAUUCUAUUAGUUAGUUGGUAGGGUAAAGGCCUACCAAGACUGUGAUGGAUAGCCGGCCUGAGAGGGUGUACGGCCACAUUGGAACUUAGAUACGGUCCAGACUCCUACGGGAGGCAGCAGUGAGGAAUAUUGCACAAUGGGCGAAAGCCUGAUGCAGCGACGCCGCGUGGAGGAUGAAGGUCUUCGGAUUGUAAACUCCUGUUAAGUGGGAAAAAAGACCAGCUAUAAAUAAUGGCUGGGGAUGAUUGUACUACUAAAGAAAGCACCGGCUAACUUCGUGCCAGCAGCCGCGGUAAUACGAGGGGUGCAAACGUUAUUCGGAAUCAUUGGGCGUAAAGGGUGCGUAGAUGGCACAUCAAGUCAAUUAUUAAAUCUUUUGGCCUAACCAAAAGCUUGUGGUUGAGACUGUUGUGCUAGAGGAUGGAAGAGAGAAGUGGAAUUCUCGGAGUAGCGGUAAAAUGCGUAGAUCUCGAGAGGAACACCGAUGGCGAAGGCAGCUUCUUGGUCCAAUCCUGACAUUGAGGCACGAAAGCGUGGGGAGCAAACAGGAUUAGAUACCCUGGUAGUCCACGCUGUAAACGAUGAUCACUAGAUGUCAAUCCCGAUUCUGGGAUUGGUGUC
rnacentral:rRNA from 1 species